rnacentral:rRNA from 1 species
UGGGGCCGCCUUAUGGUGCAUGUCGUACGGCAUCGCCUGACAGCUUGCUCUCUUGGCCGCGAGUGGCUCUCGGGUGAGUAAUAUAUCGGAACGUGCCCUGUAGCGGGGGAUAACUACUCGAAAGAGUGGCUAAUACCGAACACACCCUACGGGGGAAAGGGGGGGAUCGCACCACCUCUCACUAUUGGAGCGGCCGAUAUCGGAUUAUCUAGUUGGUGGGGUAAAGGCUCACCAAGGCAACGAUCCGUACCUGGUUUGAGAGGACGACCAGCCCACUGGGACUGACACCGGCCCGAACUCCUACCGCAGGUGGUGUUCCUCAAUUUUGGACUAUGGGGGAAACCCUGAUCCCGCCAUACCGCGUGUAUGAUGAAGGCCUUCGGGUUGUAAAGUACUUUUGGCAUAGAAAAAAAGGUAUCCCCUAAUACGGGAUACUGCUGACGGUAUCUGCAGAAUAAGCACCGGCUAACUACGUGCCAACGGCCGCGUUAAUACCUACGGUGCAAGCGUUACUCGGAGUUACUGCGCGUACAGCGUGUGUAGGCGGUUCGGAAAGAAAAAUGUGAGAUCCCAGGGCUCAGCCUUGGAACUGCGUUUUUAACUGCCGAGCUACAGUAUGUCGGAGGGUGGUAGAACUCCACGUGUACCAGUGAAAUGCGUACAUGUGUGGAGGACUACCGAUGGCGAAAGCAGCACUAUGGGAUAAUACUGACGAUCACACACGAAAGCGUGCGGAGCAAACAGGAUUAGAUGCCCUGGUAGUCCGCGCUCUAUAGGAUGUCACUACUCUGUAGAGGGGCGGUUGGGCUCUUUGUAGCGGCAGCUAACGCGUGCAGCUUCAGCCUGCCGGCGUGUACUGCUCCCACCAUCUAUUACUCAAAGGGAAUUGACGGGGACCCGCACAAGCUGGUGGAUGAUGUGGAUUAAUUCGAUGCAACGCGAAAAACCUUACCUACCCUUGACAUGUCUGGAAGCCGAGAGAUUGGCCGUGCUUCGCAAGAGAACAGGACAACAGGUGCUGCAUGCUGUCGUCAGCUCGUGUCGUGAGAUGUGGCUUAGUCCCUCUAUCGAGCGCAACCCUUGUCAUGAUUGCCUACCCACGAGCCACUCUAAUGAACUGGCCGGUGGACAUAACCGUACGAAGUGAGGAAUGGACUCAGGUCUGUCGUGCCGUGUGAUACUGA